AUUGAACGCUGGCGGCAUGCCUAACACAUGCAAGUCGAACGGCAGCACGGUCUGGUUUACCAGAUGGGUGGCGAGUGGCGAACGGGUGAGUAAAGCGUAGGAAUAUACCUUAAAGAGGGGGAUAACCUGGGGAAACUCAGGCUAAUACCGCGUAAACUCUGCGGAGCAAAGCUGGGGACCGAAAGGCCUGGCGCUUUAAGAAUAGCCUGCGUCCGAUUAGCUAGUUGGUGGGGUAAAGGCUCACCAAGGCGACGAUCGGUAGCUGGUCUGAGAGGACGAACAGCCACACUGGGACUGAGACACGGCCCAGACUCCUACGGGAGGCAGCAGUGGGGAAUAUUGGACAAUGGGGGGAACCCUGAUCCAGCAAUGCCGCGUGUGUGAAGAAGGCCCUGAGGGUUGUAAAGCACUUUCAGUGGGAGGAGGAUACUAGGUUAAGAGCCAGGUAAUUGGACGUUACCCACAGAAGAAGCGCCGGCUAACUCCGUGCCAGCAGCCGCGGUAAUGU
rnacentral:rRNA from 1 species